GGGAAAGGUGAAAAGCACCCCGGGAGGGGAGUGAAACAGUACCUGAAACCGUGCGCCCACGAGCAGUCGGAGCAACUUUACGUUGUGACGGCGUGCCUUUUGUAGAAUGAGCCAGCGAGUCGCUGGCGCGGGGCGAGGUUAACCGAAAGGGAGCCGGAGCGAAAGCGAGCCUUAACAGGGCGACUUGAGUCCCGCGCCGCGGACGCGAAGCCGGGUGAGCUAUCCGUGGGCAGGCUGAAGCGGGGGUAAGACCCCGUGGAGGGCCGAACCCACUUCGGUUGAAAACGGAGGGGAUGACCCGUGGAUAGGGGUGAAAGGCCAAUCAAACCCGGAGAUAUCUCGUUCUCCCCGAAAUAGCUUUAGGGCUAGCGUCGCGCGUUCACCGCCGGAGGUAGAGCACCGGAUGGACGAGGGGGCUUCGCCGCCUACCGAAUCCAACCGAACUCCGAAUGCCGGCGGCCCAGAGCGCGGCAGUCAGAGCAUGUGGGCUAAGCUGUGUGCUCGAGAGGGAAACAGCCCGGACCGCCCGCUAAGGUCCCCAAGUUCCAGCCGAGUGGCAAAGGAUGUGCGUCCGCCCAGACAACCAGGAUGUUGGCUUAGAAGCAGCCACUCAUUAAAAGAGUGCGUAAUAGCUCACUGGUCGAGUGACUCUGCGCCGAAAAUUUAACGGGGCUAAACUAUACACCGAAGCUUGGGAUACAUCUAAUGUAUGGUAGGAGAGCGUUCUGUAUGGGGAGAAGUCGUAGCGAAAGCGGCGGUGGACUAUACAGAAGUGAGAAUGCCGGAAUAAGUAGCGAGAAUUAAGUGAGAAUCUUAAUGGCCGAAAGUCUAAGGUUUUUGGAGGAAGGUUCGUCCGCUCCAAGUAAGUCGGGAGCUAAGGUCAGGCCGAAAGGCGUAGCCGAUGCACAUACGGUUGAUAUUCCGUAACCAUCUGUAAUUUAAGCAAAGGGACACUUCAAAAGGGUGUGACCCGGGCGUUGGUUGACCCGGGCGUAAGGGACCGAAAUUAGAGUAGGGAAGCACACUUAGCUGAAGGCGAGAAAAGCUUUGCGUAUAGAAACAGAUGCCCGUACCGCAAACCGACACAGGUGGACAGGAAGAGAAUUCUAAGGCCAGCGGGAGAAGGGUAGUUAAGGAACUCGGCAAAUUGACUCCGUAACUUCGGAAUAAGGAGUGCUCGAAAGAGCCGCAGAGAAUAGGCCCAGGCGACUGUUUAGCAAAAACACAGGUCUCUGCCAAAUCGAAAGAUGAAGUAUAGGGGCUGACACCUGCCCGGUGCCGGAAGGUUAAGAGGAGGAGUGAGAGCUCCGAAUUGAAGCCCCGGUAAACGGCGGCCGUAACUAUAACGGUCCUAAGGUAGCGAAAUUCCUUGUCGGGUAAGUUCCGACCCGCACGAAUGGUGUAACGAUCUGGGCACUGUCUCAACUACCCACCCGGCGAAAUUGUAGUACCGGUGAAGAUGCCGGUUACCUGCGGCAAGACGGAAAGACCCCAUGGAGCUUUACUGUAGCCUGAUAUUGGGUUUCGGAAAUCUAUGUACAGGAUAGGCGGGAGACUGGGAAACAUGAGCGUCAGCUUGUGUGGAGUCGAUGUUGGGAUACCGCCCUUAGGUUUCUGGAAUUCUAACCUGCGGCCGUGAAACCGGUCGGGGGACAUUGUCAGGUGGGCAGUUUGACUGGGGCGGUCGCCUCCGAAAAGGUAACGGAGGCGCUCAAAGGUUAGCUCAGCACGGACGGAAACCGUGCCUCUGAGUGUAAACGCAAAAGCUAGCCUAACUGCGAGGGUGACGGCCCGAGCAGUAACGAAAGUUGGAGUUAGUGAUCCGGCGGUAUGUGAAUGGAAAUGCCGUCGCUCAACGGAUAAAAGCUACCCUGGGGAUAACAGGCUGAUCUCCCCCAAGAGUCCACAUCGACGGGGAGGUUUGGCACCUCGAUGUCGGCUCAUCACAUCCUGGGGCUGUAUUCGGUCCCAAGGGUUCGGCUGUUCGCCGAUUAAAGUGGUACGCGAGCUGGGUUCAGAACGUCGCGAGACAGUUCGGUCCCUAUCUGUCGUGGGCGCAGGAUAUUUGAGGAGCUCUGUCCUUAGUACGAGAGGACCGGGAUGGACGUACCUCUGGUGCACCAGUUGUCAUGCCAAUGGCACGGCUGGGCAGCUAUGUACGGAACGGAUAAACGCUGAAAGCAUCUAAGCGUGAAGCCGACUCCAAGAUUAGAUAUCCCAUCGUAUAACGAGUAAGACCCCUUGAAGACUACGAGGUUGAUAGGCUGCGUGUGUAAGUGCCGUGAGGCAUUCAGCUUGGCAGUACUAAUAGGUCGAGGGCUUGACCAC
rnacentral:rRNA from 1 species